GGGAUGAGAGAUGGGUGCAGAGUGUGCUCC
rnacentral:piRNA from 1 species